rnacentral:rRNA from 1 species
UACGUAGGGUGCGAGCGUUAAUCGGAAUUACUGGGCGUAAAGCGUGCGCUGGCGGUUCGUUGUGUCUGAUGUGAAAGCCCCGGGCUCAACCUGGGAAUGGCAUUGGAAACUGGCGAGCUGGAGUGUGGCAGAGGGGGGUGGAAUUCCGCGUGUAGCAGUGAAAUGCGUAGAGAUGCGGAGGAACACCGAUGGCGAAGGCAGCCCCCUGGGCCAACACUGACGCUCAGGCACGAAAGCGUGGGGAGCAAACAGG